CCAACUUACCAGAAAAUUCAGGAGAGAAAGAAGAAAUAGAAUAAAAACCCCGCACGUUGAGUCUCGUCGUUUGAUGAAUGAAUCUUGUAUCUCGAAAAGGUUUAUUUCAGUAAAGUGGCUUUUUCGAGAAGUUUGUUCAGUAUUUUCCUCGUUGAAUCUGUUGAUCAGAAUGGAGCUGAAGUGUGUUGAAGGUGAAGGCUGCUGCUCCAGACCUGAACCGGCGGCGUGGAUCACAUACUGUUCUCAGGUUUAUAGAGUCGCAGAGAGCCGUGUGGAAGCGCUGCACCUGUACUGAGCCUCGACAUGGACAGGUUAAACUCAACCCCUUCCUCUGGUGUAACAGCUAAACUUCACUAAAGCAGUGAUCACUCAGUGGUUAUGGCAUUGAAGCACUACUACUGGUCCCUUUAGCUCCAGAACCAGCAUUAACUUCUUCAGCAAUUUGAGGAACAGUAGCUCGUCUGUUGGAUCGGAUCACACGGGCCAGCCUUCGCUCCCCACAUGCAUCAAUGAGCCUUGGCCGCCCAUGACCCUGUCUCCAGUUCACCACUGUUCCUUCCUUGGACAACUUUUGAUAGAUACUGACCUCUGCAGACCGGGAACACCCCACAAGAGCUGCAGUUUUGGAGAUGCUCUGAUCCACUCAUCUAGCCAUCAUAAUUUGGCCCUUGUCAAUAUCGCUCAAAUCCUUACGCUUGUCCAUUUUUCCUGCUUCUAACACAUCAACUUUGAAGACAAAAUGUUGACUUGCUGCCUAAUAUAUCCCACCCACUAACAGAUCCUCAGGAUCUGGUAGCACUUACUUGAUGAGGGUCUGCAUCCAGGCUGGUGAAAGGCUUUGACACUUCUCCUGGCGCUGGUGCUGUAUCCCUGUUUGGAGAUUUCUGUGAUGUAGAGGAGACGAGUCCUGGUGGUCUUCUCCACCGUCUUCACCACUCUGGACCACACCUUUCGCUCUCGUUCUGUGGUACUUCUGAAUCAGCUGUAUCCUGUCUCACCUGUUAGCCCCUUUGGAUGAAAACCAGGAUAUCAGCUAAAUUGGGUGCAGUUAUGCAGCAGUAUGUGACUGAGGAAAGGCCAAACUGCGCGAGCAUGUCUUCAACUCAGCCAUUGCUGCUGUCGUUCCGCCCCAUCCAACCCCCAUCCCCCCCCCCCCUUUCUCUGUUCAUUGACAGUGUCUCCCUGCAUGUAAAACAUCUGUUAUGGGAAAUGGCUUAUUUAAGACAUCACUAAAUAAACCAAACCAACCCCUUUUUAUAGUAACAUUGGGCAGAUUCUGCAAGCUGUAGGUUUAUGAUGGCAACUGUAGCAUUCAAAAAAGUCUUUAACACAAGAUUCCUCACCACACUGAACUAAACAUCAUCUGAUCUUAUGAUGCUGCAUCAUCUGUGACUGUUUCCUGCACUUUGCUGAAUAAAUAUUUUU